ACGCUCGACACCUACGGGAAGCAGCAGUGGGGAAUAUUGCACAAUGGGGGAAACCCUGAUGCAGCGACGCCGCGUGAAGGAAGAAGUAUCUCGGUAUGUAAACUUCUAUCAGCAGGGAAGAAAGUGACGGUACCUGACUAAGAAGCCCCGGCUAACUACGUGCCAACAGCCGCGGUAAUCUGAGCGGGCUGGCAAGGC
rnacentral:rRNA from 1 species